CUUUCUUUGCUGGCGACCGGCGCACGGGUGAGUAACACGUAUCCAACCUGCCCUUUACUCGGGGAUAGCCUUUCGAAAGAAAGAUUAAUACCCGAUAGCAUAAUGAUUCCGCAUGGUUUCAUUAUUAAAGGAUUCCGGUAAAGGAUGGGGAUGCGUUCCAUUAGGUUGUUGGUGAGGUAACGGCUCACCAAGCCUUCGAUGGAUAGGGGUUCUGAGAGGAAGGUCUCCCACAUUGGAACUGAGACACGGUCCAAACUCCUACGGGAGGCAGCAUG
rnacentral:rRNA from 1 species